UUAAGCGACUAAGCGUACACGGUGGAUGCCCUGGCAGUCAGAGGCGAUGAAGGACGUGCUAAUCUGCGAUAAGCGUCGGUAAGGUGAUAUGAACCGUUAUAACCGGCGAUUUCCGAAUGGGGAAACCCAGUGUGAUUCGUCACACUAUCAUUAACUGAAUCCAUAGGUUAAUGAGGCGAACCGGGGGAACUGAAACAUCUAAGUACCCCGAGGAAAAGAAAUCAACCGAGAUUCCCCCAGUAGCGGCGAGCGAACGGGGAGCAGCCCAGAGCCUGAAUCAGUGUGUGUGUUAGUGGAAGCGUCUGGAAAGGCGCGCGAUACAGGGUGACAGCCCCGUACACAAAAAUGCACAUACUGUGAGCUCGAUGAGUAGGGCGGGACACGUGGUAUCCUGUCUGAAUAUGGGGGGACCAUCCUCCAAGGCUAAAUACUCCUGACUGACCGAUAGUGAACCAGUACCGUGAGGGAAAGGCGAAAAGAACCCCGGCGAGGGGAGUGAAAAAGAACCUGAAACCGUGUACGUACAAGCAGUGGGAGCCUCUUUAUGGGGUGACUGCGUACCUUUUGUAUAAUGGGUCAGCGACUUAUAUUCUGUAGCAAGGUUAACCGAAUAGGGGAGCCGAAGGGAAACCGAGUCUUAACUGGGCGUUAAGUUGCAGGGUAUAGACCCGAAACCCGGUGAUCUAGCCAUGGGCAGGUUGAAGGUUGGGUAACACUAACUGGAGGACCGAACCGACUAAUGUUGAAAAAUUAGCGGAUGACUUGUGGCUGGGGGUGAAAGGCCAAUCAAACCGGGAGAUAGCUGGUUCUCCCCGAAAGCUAUUUAGGUAGCGCCUCGUGAAUUCAUCUCCGGGGGUAGAGCACUGUUUCGGCAAGGGGGUCAUCCCGACUUACCAACCCGAUGCAAACUGCGAAUACCGGAGAAUGUUAUCACGGGAGACACACGGCGGGUGCUAACGUCCGUCGUGAAGAGGGAAACAACCCAGACCGCCAGCUAAGGUCCCAAAGUCAUGGUUAAGUGGGAAACGAUGUGGGAAGGCCCAGACAGCCAGGAUGUUGGCUUAGAAGCAGCCAUCAUUUAAAGAAAGCGUAAUAGCUCACUGGUCGAGUCGGCCUGCGCGGAAGAUGUAACGGGGCUAAACCAUGCACCGAAGCUGCGGCAGCGACACUAUGUGUUGUUGGGUAGGGGAGCGUUCUGUAAGCCGUUGAAGGUGUGCUGUGAGGCAUGCUGGAGGUAUCAGAAGUGCGAAUGCUGACAUAAGUAACGAUAAAGCGGGUGAAAAGCCCGCUCGCCGGAAGACCAAGGGUUCCUGUCCAACGUUAAUCGGGGCAGGGUGAGUCGACCCCUAAGGCGAGGCCGAAAGGCGUAGUCGAUGGGAAACAGGUUAAUAUUCCUGUACUUGGUGUUACUGCGAAGGGGGGACGGAGAAGGCUAUGUUGGCCGGGCGACGGUUGUCCCGGUUUAAGCGUGUAGGCUGAUUUUCCAGGCAAAUCCGGAAAAUCAAGGCUGAGGCGUGAUGACGAGGCACUACGGUGCUGAAGCAACAAAUGCCCUGCUUCCAGGAAAAGCCUCUAAGCAUCAGGUAACAUCAAAUCGUACCCCAAACCGACACAGGUGGUCAGGUAGAGAAUACCAAGGCGCUUGAGAGAACUCGGGUGAAGGAACUAGGCAAAAUGGUGCCGUAACUUCGGGAGAAGGCACGCUGAUAUGUAGGUGAAGCGACUUGCUCGUGGAGCUGAAAUCAGUCGAAGAUACCAGCUGGCUGCAACUGUUUAUUAAAAACACAGCACUGUGCAAACACGAAAGUGGACGUAUACGGUGUGACGCCUGCCCGGUGCCGGAAGGUUAAUUGAUGGGGUCAGCCGCAAGGCGAAGCUCUUGAUCGAAGCCCCGGUAAACGGCGGCCGUAACUAUAACGGUCCUAAGGUAGCGAAAUUCCUUGUCGGGUAAGUUCCGACCUGCACGAAUGGCGUAAUGAUGGCCAGGCUGUCUCCACCCGAGACUCAGUGAAAUUGAACUCGCUGUGAAGAUGCAGUGUACCCGCGGCAAGACGGAAAGACCCCGUGAACCUUUACUAUAGCUUGACACUGAACAUUGAGCCUUGAUGUGUAGGAUAGGUGGGAGGCUUUGAAGCGUGGACGCCAGUCUGCGUGGAGCCGACCUUGAAAUACCACCCUUUAAUGUUUGAUGUUCUAACGUGGACCCGUGAUCCGGGUUGCGGACAGUGUCUGGUGGGUAGUUUGACUGGGGCGGUCUCCUCCUAAAGAGUAACGGAGGAGCACGAAGGUUGGCUAAUCCUGGUCGGACAUCAGGAGGUUAGUGCAAUGGCAUAAGCCAGCUUGACUGCGAGCGUGACGGCGCGAGCAGGUGCGAAAGCAGGUCAUAGUGAUCCGGUGGUUCUGAAUGGAAGGGCCAUCGCUCAACGGAUAAAAGGUACUCCGGGGAUAACAGGCUGAUACCGCCCAAGAGUUCAUAUCGACGGCGGUGUUUGGCACCUCGAUGUCGGCUCAUCACAUCCUGGGGCUGAAGUAGGUCCCAAGGGUAUGGCUGUUCGCCAUUUAAAGUGGUACGCGAGCUGGGUUUAGAACGUCGUGAGACAGUUCGGUCCCUAUCUGCCGUGGGCGCUGGAGAACUGAGGGGGGCUGCUCCUAGUACGAGAGGACCGGAGUGGACGCAUCACUGGUGUUCGGGUUGUCAUGCCAAUGGCACUGCCCGGUAGCUAAAUGCGGAAGAGAUAAGUGCUGAAAGCAUCUAAGCACGAAACUUGCCCCGAGAUGAGUUCUCCCUGACUCCUUGAGAGUCCUGAAGGAACGUUGAAGACGACGACGUUGAUAGGCCGGGUGUGUAAGCGCAGCGAUGCGUUGAGCUAACCGGUACUAAUGAACCGUGAGGCUUAACCUU
rnacentral:rRNA from 2 species